rnacentral:rRNA from 1 species
UGGGGAAUAUUGGACAAUGGGGGGAACCCUGAUCCAGCCAUGCCGCGUGUGUGAAGAAGGCCUUAUGGUUGUAAAGCACUUUAAGCGAGGAGGAGGGUACUGGUAUUAAUACUACCAGGUACUGGACGUUACUCGCAGAAUAAGCACCGGCUAACUCUGUGCCAGCAGCCGCGGUAAUACAGAGGGUGCGAGCGUUAAUCGGAUUUACUGGGCGUAAAGCGUGCGUAGGCGGCUAAUUGAGUCGGAUGUGAAAUCCCCGAGCUUAACUUGGGAAUUGCAUUCGAUACUGGUUAGCUAGAGUGUGGGAGAGGAUGGUAGAAGUCCAGGUGUAGCGGUGAAAUGCGUAGAGGUCUGGAGGAAUACCGAUGGCGAAGGCAGCCAUCUGGCCUAACACUGACGCUGAGGUACGAAAGCAUGGGGAGCAAACAGG